rnacentral:rRNA from 1 species
UGGAGAUGUCUGGUCCUCAUCCAUCUUAUCUGAUCUCAGAAGCUAACGAAGGAUUGUGUCUGGUUCAAACCUGAAUGGAAGACCACCUGGGAACACCAGAUUCUCUAG